rnacentral:rRNA from 1 species
UGCGUAGGCGGAAAAUUAAGUCAGUAGUGAAAUCCUGCAGCUUAACUGUAGAACUGUUAUUGAUACUGGUUUUCUUGAAUAUAGUUGAAGUAGGCGGAAUGUGUAAUGUAGCGGUGAAAUGCUUAGAUAUUACACAGAACACCGAUUGCGAAGGCAGCUUACUAAGCUAUGAUUGACGCUGGGGUACGAAAGCGUGGGGAGCGAACAGGAUUAGAUACCCUGGUAGUC